UGAGGUCCUAGAUGACCUUUGGAGGUGUGU
rnacentral:piRNA from 1 species